UCCCAAACAAAAACACUCUAAAUACAAUAACAAUGCCGCAUCUCACAACAUUACCAAGAACAGCAAUCAGCCUUCUAAUCUUUAACCUCUACUCGUCUGAUCAACCGUCGAGCUUUUAGGGUUCAAUCACAAACAAAGGUGUGUCAACACUGACUGGCCUGCCAUCUUCUGCAAGAAUUUCAACUAUGGUCCCUGACUGAUCAGCUUCUAUUUCAUUCAUCAAUUUCAUGGCUUCAAUGAUGCACACGACUUGUCCCUUCUGCACUUUGUCUCCAACCUUCACAAAAGAUGGUUCACCUGGAGCAGGACUUCUGUAGAAUGUGCCAGCCAUAGG
rnacentral:misc_RNA from 1 species